UCCGAGUUGUCCACGCCGUAAACGAUGGAUGCUCGGUGCCGGUCCGUAUGGGCCGGUGCCUAAGCCAACGCGAUAAGCAUCCCACCUGGGGAGUACGCUCGCAAGAGUGAAACUCAAAGGAAUUGGCGGGGGCCCGCACAAGCGGUGGAGCAUGUGGCUUAAUUCGAUGCAACGCGAAGAACCUUACCAGGGCUUGACAUGCUACUGCAAGCUGCCGAAAAGCAGUCGCCUUCGAGGGUGUAGCACAGGUGGUGCAUGGCUGUCGUCAGCUCGUGUUGUGAAAUGUUGGGUUAAGUCCCGCAACGAGCGCAACCCUCAUGUUUUGUUACCAGCGGGUCAUGCCGGGAACUCGAAACAAACUGCCUCUGUAAGGAGGAGGAAGGUGGGGAUGACGUUCGUC
rnacentral:misc_RNA from 1 species